rnacentral:rRNA from 1 species
UAGUAACGGCGAGUGAAGCGGGAAGAGCUCAAGCUUAAAAUCUCCGUGCAAGUUUUGCGCGGCGAAUUGUAGUCUAUAGAGGCGUGGUCAGCGUGGGCGCUUGGGGCAAGUUCCUUGGAAGAGGACAGCAUGGAGGGUGAUACUCCCGUUCAUCCCUGAGUGGCUCGUGCGUACGACCCGUGUUCUUUGAGUCGCGUUGUUUGGGAAUGCAGCGCAAAGUAGGUGGUAAAUUCCAUCUAAAGCUAAAUAUUGGUGCGAGACCGAUAGCGAACAAGUACCGUGAGGGAAAGAUGAAAAGAACUUUGAAAAGAGAGUUAAAGAGUACCUGAAACUGCUGAAAGGGAACCGAAUCGUUUCCAGUGUCUAUAAUCCGUGGCAUAUUUCAUUGGCGAGUGUGCGCGUGCGUGURCUGUGGCAGCGGCCUUUUUGGGCUGCGCUCGGUGCGUGUGCUGUGUGUGCUUGCUGGUGCCCUGUGCUGCGGUGGGACGUCAAGGUCAGUUCGUAUGCUGCGGGAAAUGGCUGCCGAGGAGGUAGGGCUUACGCUCCGCGUUUGUCUGUUAUAUCUUGGUGGACGAGUCGUCGCGGUUGGGACUGAGGUGCCUACAACGUGCUUUUGAGUGGGUCUGUGUCUCCGUGUGCGCCGUGUGCGGAUAGCUUGCUAUGCGUGUGUGGUUGUGUGUGGAUUGAUGCGGGCCUUAACUUGUCGCCGUUCGGGACGUUGACGAAAUGGAGCGAUCCGACCCGUCUUGAAACACGGACCAAGGAGUCUAACAUGUGUGCAAGUGUUAGGGUGUGGAAACCCCAGCGCGAAAUGAAAGUGAAGGGCAGCGCAAGUUGUCUGAGGUAGGAAACGUUGCGGGCUUCGGUCUGCGGCGUGGCACUAUCGACCGAUCAUGAACCUUCGUGGUGAAAGAUUUGAGUUUGAGCACAUAUGUUGGUACCCGAAAGAUGGUGAACUAUGCCUGAG